rnacentral:rRNA from 1 species
AAUAGAUACCCGGGUAGUCCAUGCCGUAAACGUUGGGCACUAGGUGUGGGGGACAUUCCACGUUUUCCGCGCCGUAGCUAACGCAUUAAGUGCCCCGCCUGGGGAGUACGGCCGCAAGGCUAAAACUCAAAGGAAUUGACGGGGGCCCGCACAAGCGGCGGAGCAUGCGGAUUAAUUCGAUGCAACGCGAAGAACCUUACCAAGGCUUGACAUGGACCGGAUCGCUGCAGAAAUGUGGUUUCUCCUUUUGGGGCCGGUUCACAGGUGGUGCAUGGUUGUCGUCAGCUCGUGUCGUGAGAUGUUGGGUUAAGUCCCGCAACGAGCGCAACCCUCGUUCCAUGUUGCCAGCACGUGAUGGUGGGGACUCAUGGGAGACUGCCGGGGUCAACUCGGAGGAAGGUGGGGACGACGUCAAAUCAUCAUGCCCCUUAUGUCUUGGGCUUCACGCAUGCUACAAUGGCCGGUACAAAGGGUUGCGAUACUGUGAGGUGGAGCUAAUCCCGAAAAAGCCGGUCUCAGUUCGGAUUGGGGUCUGCAACUCGACCCC